UCUAUGGCCAUACCACCCUGAAUGCACCCGAUAUCAUCUGACUGUCGACAUCAACCAGGGUCAGACCUGGUUAGUACUUUGAGUUUCCUGGAGUUUCAUUUAGCUGAUAGUA
rnacentral:rRNA from 1 species